ACUUAGUCACCCACAGUGUCUCCUCUUCUGGAGGGACCUCUGGCCUCUGAAAGGACUCCCUGCUGUGCUGCUGCAGGAGAUAACAGUAAAAAUAAAGUAAUUAACCUCUUCUGUGAAGAACCACAACCAACUUGCCAAGAGCACACAGCUGGAGAUUUCACAGAAGUUGCCAAGAACUGGCUGAAGAAGGCUUGGAAACAGAAGGCUGCAGAGAUGAAGCUUCAAAGUCAAAAUUGCUUACAGAAGUUAAGUUUGAAGGUGAAAAAAGGAAGAUCGCCAGCUUGUUUCUGUAUUUUCUUCCAUUCCUGUCACGAUACCAUCUUCAUCAGAUGAAUCCUCUAUGUUCAAAGCACAAUCAGAGGAAGCAUCUGAUGUAUGAGUAGAAGAAAACAGCUCCUGCUUCACUGGGUAUUUAUACACGUGCU